GAAGCCCGCGCUGCUCGGUUUAGGCUGGUGUAAAUGCAGUCGCUCUUCCUGCGCUCCUAACGCUGUAGCUCGUGGCUGUUUCUGUGUCAUCUGUCGGUGACGCUGCAAUGACCUGCAGGUCAGGACAGGGUGUCCAUCAAAGAUUGAGGUUACUGUGAGGGCAAGUGUGUCAGUGGAGAAAUUAUGGGGAAUGGAUUUCAAUACUGGGCAUCCACAGGGGCAGUGGAGAAAUGACGUAUUCAAUGAGUGGAGAGCUAUAGUUAAUUGUUCUGGUGACAUCUGUGAUGGACUGUGGAUCAAUGGCUCCCCUGCUGUGUUUCGCAUCCUCUGAGUACUCAUUUCUCCUAGAAUGCAUAGUUUUCUGGACAAGGGGGAUGACUAUUUGACUGAGACCUUUCCUACAGGGAGGGAGCUGUUCUCUCAAAUUAAACACAAAGCUGCAGUGAGCCUAUGGAAGUUCUGGAGGAAGCUAUGGUGGAGCAGAUGUUUCUGUGCAGAGGACCACAGUGGAACAGAUACUGACACUGCAGCCCAUGAAGAAGGACCCCAUGCCAGAGCAGGUGAAUAUUUCCUAAAGGAACUGUAGCCCAUGGGACAGGUUCUACUGACAGGAGCUGUGGCUUAUGGAGGACUGAUGCUGGAGCAUGGUUAAAAUCUGUGAGCAGUUGUCAUUUGGAGAUCUGGGCUCGCACUGGAAACCACGAAGCCCCAUCAAGUUCUGCUACCAACUUAUUUGAGUUGAUUGAAGAAACUGAGAGGAAAACAGUUCUGUGUGCGUAGUCUGGGGAAGAGUCAAUUUCAUUGUGUAUUUCCCUUGAUUAAUAUAUGUAUUCAGUAAUCUAAAACCAGGUAGUUGGUUUGCCAACAUCAUAAAUUACAGCAAAGGUGCAAGUGUUAUAACCUAAACAUAGUAGCAGAUACCUUUUUCUAGAUGCUCAGGUGUUUUUAUGGUUGUCACGUACACUUUUAUAGUGUAAUAUUUAGCCUUUGAAGAGUGCAGGUUGUUUGCUGCCCUCCCCUGCCUCUAACUGGUGGCUUCUGACUAUUCAAAGAAAGAUCCUUUAAUUGAGCAAAUAAUACACCAUGCUCUGUCUUCAAUCUGGGAACAUUAAAAUCAUCCUUCUAAAUACGGAUUUGUGAUCCUUUAAUAAUUGAUCUCUGAAGUAUGGGUAAAUCCACUCAAGUCUCUGGAAACUUCUGAAUGUGUCAGUACUUCUAAAAGGCCAAGAACCCCUUUAAAUCUCAUUGAAAUUUGUUAACAAAAUCUCACCCAGCAAUUUGUUUCUCUGCAUAUUUUUAUAGCAACAAUUUUCUUUUUUUUUUUUCCUGUCAAGGAUAAUAGCUGAUGUCAGAACUGUAAAUACUCCACAGUAGUUAUUUGAAGUACAGUACCAGAUGAAAUUGAAUCUACUGUGAAAUUUUUCUUUGAAGCUGUGAAACUUGAUUCUCUGUUUAUUAGGGAAGUCACUGCUUUCAGUUUGUGCAGCAUUUCAGCAGAACUUGGAAAACAGAAGGGGUAACCUAAAUGAAUUAUAUAGCCUCACUUGUCAGCUGUAUCUCCAGUUUGACAAAAUCUAAUGAAGUUGUUGGAGAGAUAGUUCUUAAUGUAUGUCUUCUGCUGCAUACCCAACUUUAAAUUUAUAUACCGAGUACCUGGUGGUUGUCAUGGUGAAUUUAUUCUUGUAUUUGCACUUAAGAUUUAAAAACCUAGCAGCAUACAUAAACAAAAAUGUCAAAACUAUUUUCUUUCAUUGGAUCUGAGUGUAUAAGGUGUCUUGACAUAUGUGCAUCUGGAAACUGGGAACUGAAAUCCACUGUUUCUUUCACUAGCAAUUCUGGAUUUCACUGGCUGAUUCACCAAUCCCUAAGGGACAUAGGGCCAAAACCUGGAACUGACACCAGUAGGGAGAUGAAGAUGCUUCAAGCAGUCAGCAUGGAGGCAAAAAGCCAAGUGGCAGAAUAUCUGCUGAGAAAGCUGAGAAGAUGACAGUCUCACAGGAGAAAAUGGAAGACAGCAGGUCUCACAUGACAUGCAAACACUGCAAGCUACAAAAGGAUCUGCACCUCAAGGAAUUCUAAGGCCUUACAAGAAAAUCUUCCCUGGAUUCUGUCCUGCACUUCAAGUUUCCUGGUGGAAGUGAGGAGCAACUUGUUAGUCAGUCUUAGUCUUAAUUGCCAGUCAGUUUUUAUUACACUAAAAGAGUCGCUUGUUGUAAUUGACCUUUGUCGAGAAGAAUGCGUAUGCAAGACUGCAUCUCUACUUCUCCAGCCACCUAAAGUACCAGGUUGCAUUAUCCAGAUGUGCCACUGGAAGCAGAUGCCAGGACUUUAAGCUUGGUGGUAGAUGAAGGGCUGUAUGGGAUAUGCGCUCUACAUUUAGUUUAGGUUUAUGGAAAGGAACAGAAGGGAACAUGUAGCUGUUCUCCUAAGCACUAGAUAUGAGAGACAUGGAGAAGCUGAGUGAUGGGUAGGGAGGUAUUCAGAGGAUCCCCCUGGGAAAACUUUACCUAGGACAAUCAAAAUAAAAAUCCUAAAUGUGCCUUUAACAGCCAUUUUGGAUUCACUUGGAAGGAUGGUUGCAUCACUGACUCUUGACUCAUUAUAUCAUUUGGGAACAUAAGUAGACAGGACAGUGUUAGACCUGUCGUUGUGAAGAUACCGGGAUCCUUAAGGAGACCUUACAAUUGCCUGCUGCAAGAAAAGCAGAUGGGAUCUGUGUCCAGUAAGUGCUUUAUCUUGCAAGUAGCUUGGGAUUCAGAAUGUUGUAUAAGAUCUGUUAUCUACAGUGCAAAUGUAGAGCAUGUAACUGUGGUUUCCUUUGGGUUGAGAAGCACUAAAUGCUUGCAAGUUCUUGUGAUUGUUGUGAAUAUGAAUGAAUCCUCUGGGUGGCCUUUUAAUAAUAUAAUUGUUGUAGAAAUAAAUAAAUAAAUAUUUUUUCUCUACUAUUUUGAAAUUAAUAGGGAUAUUUCCUGCAAGACUGCAGAGGAAAAUGAUAGGCCCAAGCCCAGAAAGGAGCUUUCCUAGUUUCAUCUGGUAUUAAACAGUACAGACAGAGGGCAG